rnacentral:tRNA from 1 species
GGCUUUAUACUCCGGUGAGAGCACGUGCCAGAUAAGCGCGUACACGUCGGUUCGAUUCCGACCAGGGGCACCA